rnacentral:SRP_RNA from 1 species
CAACAGGUAGGGUUGGAGGGAUAGCCGUCCUCCUCGCUGAAACCGGCUAUACGCAGCACCAGUAACCAGUGGUUAAAGUAUAAUUUUCAGGUACCUGCCAUCUUGCUUGAAUGAAAUCACGCCGUGAUUGGUGGUCACAAGAGAUAGCUAUUUCGAAGGAAAUAGUGAUUCUUCAACUACUGAAACCGGACAGGUCCGGGAGGGAGCAUCCGUAUAGUGGGGUGGUUGCGCUUUCACGUCUACGUGAAUGACUUUGUAGGAUUGGAAAAGG